CCUACGGGAGGCAGCAGUGAGGAAUAUUGGUCAAUGGGCGUAAGCCUGAACCAGCCAAGUCGCGUGAGGGAUGAAGGCCCUAUGGAUUGUAAACUUCUUUUAUAAGGGAAUAAAGUGCGGGACGUGUCCCGUUUUGUAUGUACCUUAUGAAUAAGGAUCGGCUAACUCCGUGCCAGCAGCCGCGGUAAUACGGAGGAUCCGAGCGUUAUCCGGAUUUAUUGGGUUUAAAGGGGGCGUAGGCGGCCUUUUAAGUCAGCGGUGAAAGUUUGUGGCUCAACCAUAAAAUUGCCGUUGAUACUGGGAGGCUUGAGUAUGUUUGAGGCAGGCGGAAUUCGUGGUGUAGCGGUGAAAUGCUUAGAUAUCACGAAGAACCCCGAUUGCGAAGGCAGCCUGCCAAGCCAUGACUGACACUGAUGCACGAAAGCGUGGGGAUCAAACAGGAUUAGAUACCCGGGUAGUC
rnacentral:rRNA from 1 species